rnacentral:tRNA from 1 species
AGUCCCCUAGCUCAGGGCUUAGAGCACUGGUCUUGUAAACCAGGGGUUGUGAGUUCAAAUCUCACUGGGACCG